rnacentral:rRNA from 1 species
CCUACGGGAGGCUGCAGUGAGGAAUAUUGGUCAAUGGGCGCAAGCCUGAACCAGCCAAGUCGCGUGAGGGAAGACGGCCCUACGGGUUGUAAACCUCUUUUGCCGGGGAGCAAGCCUGAGCACGUGUGCCCAGGCGGAGAGUACCCGGAGAAAAAGCAUCGGCUAACUCCGUGCCAGCAGCCGCGGUAAUACGGAGGAUGCGAGCGUUAUCCGGAUUUAUUGGGCGUAAAGGGUGCGUAGAUGGCAUAGUAAGUCUUUUGUAAAAAUGCUGGGCUCAACCCAGUAGGGCAAAAGAUACUGCAAAGCUAGAGUAUGACAGAGGCAAGUGGAACUACAUGUGUAGCGGUAAAAUGCGUAAAUAUAUGUAAGAACACCAGUGGCGAAGGCGGCUUGCUGGGUCGAUACUGACAUUGAGGCACGAAAGCGUGGGGAGCAAACAGGAUUAGAUACCCUUGUAGUC